rnacentral:lncRNA from 1 species
UCAGACAGUGUAAAGGACCUUUAAACGAGUGAUUCUGAAUAGAUGAAGAGAAGACAGCUUGUGCCUCAAGUCCUGAUGAGAUUUUUGGGUCCUCCUGGACCCUGUCAGAAUUCCCUUGACGGAGUGCAAUUGCAUGGUGACGUUUCUCUAUGGGAUCAGCGUUUUCUGACUGGAAAGAAGAAAUCUCAAUCCUUUCUACUCAAAAUAAAUGAACUGAUCGGACAGACAACCUCUGGCAGCAAGACUUUCAUGUUUGGUUCAGUGUGGGUCUAAGAGAUAUACGGUAACUGGUUGCCCUAAUGGAAGAAGAUCUCCUAAUAUUCCAGCAUGGAAAAGAGGUAAUUUUUUUUUAAACAAUUGCGUGUUUAAAAAUACAUGUUUCAGUCCUCUGCAGCAGCCUCGUGCUAACAGCGCAGAGUUUUUCUAGGGCCGUAAUUG